GCCUAAUACAUGCAAGUCGAGCGAAUUCCUCCUUCGGGGUGGGUUAGCGGCGGACGGGUGAGUAACACGUAGGCCACCUGCCUGUAAGAAUGGGAUAACUACCGGAAACGAUAGCUAAUACCGGAUACGCGGUUGGAUCGCAUGAUCCGAUCGGGAAAGAGAGUUUCGGCUCUCACUUACGGAUGGGCCUGCGGCGCAUUAGCUUGCUGGUGGGGUAACGGCUCACCAAGGCGACGAUGCGUAGCCGACAUGAGAGGGUGAUCGGCCACACUGGGACUGAGACACGGCCCAGACUCCUACGGGAGGCAGCAGUAGGGAAUCUUCCGCAAUGGACGCAAGUCUGACGGAGCAACGCCGCGUGAGUGAUGACGGUUCUCGUAUCGUAAAGCUCUGUUGCCAGGGAAGAACGGCCGGGGGAGUAACUGCCCUCGGCAUGACGGUACCUGAGAAGAAAGCCCCGGCUAACUACGUGCCAGCAGCCGCGGUAAUACGUAGGGGGCAAGCGUU
rnacentral:rRNA from 1 species